UGGGGUAUAGCUCAGGCGUAGAGUGCCUGCUUAGCAUGCAGGAGAUCCUGGGUUCAAUCUCCAAUACUUCCA
rnacentral:tRNA from 1 species